rnacentral:misc_RNA from 1 species
GCUUUUCAGCCUUCAAGAUGUUCAUGAAGAGGAAAGGAAUUUUUAAGGGAACAACAUAGACACCUAUUAAUCUAUGGACUACUACCAAAUCAUCCCCGGCUAUCACUAAUCACUAUUAGCUGCCACCAGUCACUAGUAGUAAUCACAAUUUAUCACUUGUUCAUAUAAUUUUUCUCACACUAAAUAGAAAAAUAUGAAAUUCUUGCAGGUUUAAGCAUUCAUAUUUUUUUAUUAAAAUAUUUUCAUUAUCUUAAUACUCAACUCAACUAAG